AUGCGUAGAUAUUGGGAAGAACACCAGUGGCGAAGGCGCUCUACUGGGCCGUAACUGACGCUGAGGGACGAAAGCUAGGGGAGCGAAAGGGAUUAGAUACCCCUGUAGUCCUAGCUGUAAACGAUGGAUACUAGGCGUUGGACGUAUCGACCCGUUCAGUACCGCAGCCAACGCGAUAAGUAUCCCGCCUGGGGAGUACGCACGCAAGUGUGAAACUCGAAGGAAUUGACGGGGGCCCGCACAAGCGGUGGAGUAUGUGGUUUAAUUCGAUGCAACGCGAAGAACCUUACCAGGGCUUGACAUCCCUCGAAUCCACUUGAAAGAGAGGAGUGCCUUCGGGAGCGAGGAGACAGGUGGUGCAUGGCUGUCGUCAGCUCGUGUCGUGAGAUGUUGGGUUAAGUCCCGCAACGAGCGCAACCCACGUCCUUAGUUGCCAUCAUUAAGUUGGGCACUCUGGGGAGACUGCCGGGGACAACUCGGAGGAAGGUGUGGAUGACGUCAAGUCAUCAUGCCCCUUACGUUCUGGGCUACACACGUACUACAAUGCUUCGGACAAAGAGCAGCCAACUAGCGAUAGUGAGCUAAUCUCAUAAACCGAGGCACAGUUCAGAUUGCAGGCUGCAACUCGCCUGCAUGAAGGAGGAAUCGCUAGUAAUCGCCGGUCAGCAUACGGCGGUGAAUACGUUCCCGGGCCUUGUACACACCGCCCGUCACACCAUGGGAGUUGGCCACGCCCGAAGUCGUUACUCUAACCGUUCGCGGAGGAGGGCGCCGAA
rnacentral:rRNA from 1 species